GUAUCAGUAUUCGCGGGGCGUGAGAAGGGACGCAUUGAUACAAGUAUAUUAUGGCUCAGUAUACGAUAAAUGACGGCGAGGGCGCGAAUUUUUUUUAAUUUUCUCAAUAAUAAGGUGAAUAAUACUAAUGAUACAAUUAGCAAUAUCUCAGGAAUCGGUGAUAUAAUGCAAAACAGGGAUGAAUAUGAGUCUCCAUUGCCACCGGAUGCAAAUUUUAUGGAAGAGGAGCUAUCAAUACUUGAUGAUAUUGAUUAGAAUGAUAGCAAGGAAGUAUCGCAGAAUAUCCCUUCUAAUGCUUACAUAUUAUUCCUAGAUUAUAUUCUUUGCUCUUCGCCUUGGGUAUCGAAUGUUGAUAACUGAACUCAAAAAGGAGAUCGAUCGCCAUCAGUCAUAGAGAACACUCCAGGUAAUUCGCCCAUCCAGAAUAGCAUUAUAGAAAAUUAUUGUGAUAUUACUCCAGUAACAUCGCCGUAUAAUUCUUUUGACUCAUCUCCUGUUAAUUUCUGACAUUAAUGAUAUCACAUACUCAUCGUCCAAUAACGCCAAAAGCGCAUUUCCAUUGCGAAAAAAGAUAAAGAAAGGCUAAGAGUUUUCAUAAAAAAUGUAAGGAUAAGGAGAGGAAAUAUAAGCUUAAUAGAGGAUUGGAAUAUAUGUCAGUAGAAACGGAAGAGUACAUGCUACGAGAAUUAUGAAAACUUCUUGCCCCUCAACUUGUCGGAAAAAAUGCAGUGAGAAAUUAACAGAAUGUUUUGGAUUAUUGGACCACCGAAGACAAUGGGUUUUUUGGCAAGAUAUGUUGUAAGAGCUGGAAAAAAAGAGAAAAAAUAUUGUCGAUAAAAAAAAGCAGUGAAGGAGAUAAUAUUAUUAAAACCACAAAAAUAUCGGUUUGCAAAACUAUGUUCUUGAGAACUCUUUCUAUUAGUUUUGAUUUUGCUUAUACAGAUUUAGAAAAGUCCGAUAAAGGUAAUGGAUUUAUUAAAUCAGAUAGCGUGGUCUUUGGAUGAACAUAUAAUCCAUCCGAUAACGUUCACAGUGUUAUAGAUCACGUUGAAGCAUUUUCUCCUGUAGAGUCACAUUACACUCGCCAAAAAUCAAGUAAAAAUUAUCUGGAAGGCUUUUUAUCCUUCCCAAAACUCUUCAUGAAUCGAAUGGUUUAUGGACUACUGUGAGACAAUAUCUAUAUAUAGGUUUUAUAAACCCAAAAAAGAUAUUUGUGAACAAUGUCACAUUUAUGAAAAUAACAAGCAAGUUCUGCAGGCAGAUAAAGAAAAGCAUGAAGAGCAUU